GAGAUUAUACUAUUACACCAUCUGGAUUUCUGUUGUUUUCUACUGUAGAUCUAAGAGUAAUUACUUAAAUCCUCAUUCAGAGUGUAUUACCAUAAAAUGUGAUUCACUGUGAAAGUAGUAUAACAUAUAAACUACAGCAUAAUUUUUAACUUAAGGAGUAAGUUGCAGCCACACUAAAAUUUAAUUCCUUGAACUGAAUGGAACCUCAUAUAUUAAUAAAUGUAUUUGUUAAGUCAAACAAUGUGAAACAUUAGUAAUACUAUUAAUUAAUAGUAUACUUGUAAGGUUAGUAUUGUGAUAGAGUCGCGUAUAUUUUAAUUAUACUCUUGUAGACAUUAUGACAUUAUGCUAGUACAAUUAUGGUGAACAAAAAGUACAUCUAAAAGUUAAUUUCAAGAAUACUGUUAUGUACUAAAACGGGGGCCAAUAUAGUCCCAAGAAGCAUUAUUAGUAUACGUACUAGGUAAGGUAUACUUGGGAAAUAUAAUUGAAGUAUACUUAUUUUUUGUAUGGCCAGCAACAAAUACUAAUGGCUACAUUUAGAGUAAUGUUUAAAAAUGACUUAAUUUAGCAGGGUGUUCUUUUCUUCUCUUCUUAUUCUUUCUGGACCUUCAUUUGUUUUGUAUAAGGUGGUACUUUUUAAGACACCUCUGCCUAACUACAGUGAACUAACCUAAUAAUAUGCUCUGCACAUUAUCACAGUUUAGCGCAUUGGGUUGUGUUUUUAAAGCAAUUGUUACGUUUUUAAAGCUUUUUAAUGCGACAGGUGCGAUAGCCGACACCACACCUUCACCUGACGUACAACGUGACGUAUGACGCACACGUCGGGUAUUCACUUUCAAAACAACAAUGGGGAUAGAAAAUAUUGCUCGAGUGGUUAAUGCUCCUUUCGCUGGUUGCCAACCACCAUUAAAUAACAACAAGAAGAAAAUAUUGAUCUGCUUAGUUUUGCACGUUUAAGCCGCAAUUCAGACUCAAACAAAGCUGCAAAGCAGGAGAACAACAUGACCAUCAACUAUUCUGUGCCACAGAUCCAGUUCGCUGCAGCACAGAGUGAUGAUGAGACCGUUAACAUGUGCAACUUAGAAGUAAUCAGAGGUAACUGGAUGAUCAAUCGGGUUAAAUGCAAGGUUGAUUGGAUUAUAUCUGAAGAUCGUAUGCUAUUCGUGAUAACUCUGCUAGACUCCAAAUUGCUCGUCCAUGCGGGAGUAUCCCAAAAUUAAAUGAAACCACUUAACACUUUUUCCCUAAAACGGACUGACAUGGGACACAUUAAAGUUGGAUCGGAACCAGCUAAUCAGUCUGAAGGUAAGUGUUUUUUUCACUUAUUCGAGAGAAGUCCGAAAUGCGUUCUUAUUACUGUUUGUUUUGACUUUUCAGCUACCCUACCAGGAUAUUUUCAUUCAAAUGCUAAGACAAAAUGUCAAUAGCUAUGAAUGUGGAGACUCAAAAGACUAGUUAGGUAAUAGUUGCCGAUGGAUUUAUGAGACUUGAUAGAAACUUGGACGUUUGCAACAGGUGAAUCGGUGAACUACCAAGGUUGCGCCCAAAUGCUUAAAGCUGUUAGCUGGUCAGUGUUUUCAGGUGUGCUUGUACUACCUGUACUGCGGAGUGCUGACUAAGUCAUGUUAAACCCAUUAAAGCGUCGAGCUCAAAUAUCUUUUCGUUUUUGUGCACUGCUCUCUUGUCGGCACACAUUUUCUGUUUAUUGAAGCCUUUUGUGAAUAAUUUUGAUCAUGUAAAAACUGGGAAUUGGUCCCUAUUGACAAUACUCUUAUUUUUUGCAUUGCAUAUGUCAUUCAGGAAAGGUAAUUGGUCACUGAACUUUUUGCAACUGUGUAUUUCUAAAUUUUGUGGCUUCAGUGCACGCAAAUUUAUAUUGUUCAGUUUGCAUGUUAAAAGCCUGCCAAGCACCCCAAGGCUGAUUAUGCUUGGACAAAGUUCAAUGACCGCCACCUGCUGGAUGGUGAGUGCAGAGGGGCGUGUAAUUGUUGAGCUGGACAAAGAGAACACCUUUGCUGAUGCUGUCAGUCUUCUUUGGUUCAUUCUAUGUAUUGAACCUGGAAUACCAGGAGUCAGCGUGUGCAAGGUUUUUUGUAAGGAUAAACCCUGAAGAGGGAACAAAAUGUACCUCCAAGGUUGGGACAAGCAGAAAGACUGGGACCACUGUGAAGCGAAAGGUUGUUCACAUUAACCCUCAUGUCACAACUUUCCUCCAGUGGCUUACUGAA